AUUAUAAACAAAAGCAAGGCCUUGAUCAAUCAACUCCUUACGAACCUUGGGCUUGGCUGUCUCGACCUUCUCACCGGAAUAUUUACCGAUAAUCAUCGUACCUUGGUAGAAACACUCUUUAUAAGCAAGCUCCUUAGCUUGAGCCAAUUGUUUAACAUCCUUAGGACUUUGAAUCUUAAGUUUUUUGCACAAAAACUCAGCACACAUGUCACCAUAAGAAGGAGUGCGAAUAAUAGGGACAGCUUCGUACUUCAUCCACUCGGGAUUCAAGUGAUAAAAUUC